GUUGUAUUUGCCACCUGGCCCUAUACAACAGAACUGCCAUAGUGAACAUGAACAGGAGGCAGAGUGGGAAGAGGGGGUGCCUGUGAGAUGACAUGAUGACCGAAGUUCUACCAGCUGUUAUGGAUCAUGCGAUGUCCCAGAGGAAGGAAACCACACCCUUGGAUGGGCCCAUGUUUUACAGAUAUGAUGUUAUGAUCUAUAUUUUGACACGACUGUGAGGAAACCUGGAUGGAGGAAAAUGCCACCAUCAUUUCCUAAGUGCCGUCUCAAGACAUAAAAAGCUUAUUGUUAUAGUCUGAACUGUGCCCCGCCAUUCUUAUGCUGACGUCUUAACUCACAGUAUCUCAGAAUGUGACUGCAUUUGGAAAGAGGUUCCAGAAUCUGACUGCAUUUGGAAAGAGGUAAUUAAGUUAAAAUUAGGUCAUUAUGGUGGGCCCUAAUCCAACAUGAUUGGUGUCCUUAUAAAAAGAAGAAAUUUGAACACAGACAAAUACAGAGGGAAGACCGUGUGAAGACACAGGCAGAAGGCUGCCUCCUGCUAGCCAAAGAGAGAGCCCUCAGAAAAAAUCAACCCUACCAGCACCAUGAUCUUGUGCUUCUAGUCUUCAGAAUCAUGAGAAAAUACAUUUCUGUUUAAGUCACCCAGUCUGUGGUAUUUUCUUAUGUCACCCCUAGCAAACUAAUAUACUCAUGUUGUUCUUGCAACAGGAAGAAAUAAAUAUUAUUUAAAUGCAUUGAGUAAAAGUGAUAGAGGUGGAAAGCAAAUAUAUUGAAGAAAAAACUAAAGUUUACAAACUGCGAUAAAGUAGGACAAACAGUGAGCUGGACUGCAGCAUUUGCCUGAUAAGUUUUAUCAAAAAGAAGAAAUAAGAUCUAUACUUGAAAACAGAAUUGAAUGCUAGGUGUAUACACCACCAUUUUAAAAUUGGGUUAUUUGUUUUCUUAAUGUUCAGUUUGAAGAGUUACUUAUGUAUAUCCUGGACACAAGCCUUUAACCAGAUCUGUGAUUUAUAAAUAUUUUCUCCCAAUCUGUGGCUUGUCUUUUUAUUUUCUUAUCAGUCCUCUUUAAUUUUGAAAAGUCCAAUUUAGCUUUUUUUUUUCUUUUAUGAGCCAUGUUUUUGGUAUUGUAUCUAAAACUAAUUGCCCAAGCAAAGAUCUCAUCAAUUUUCUCCUAUGCUUUCUUCUAGAAAUCCUAUAGGUUUGCAUUACACAUUUAGGUCUAUCAUCCAUUUUGAGUUAAAUUUUAUAUAGGGUCUGAGGUAUGUUGUCAAAGAUCAUUUUCUUGUACGUAGAGGUCCAAUUUUUCCAACACAAUUCUUUACCAAAUGUAUGAAGGUUUGUCUUCAUAUCUUUGUCAGAAAUCAUUUAAUUAUAUUUGUAUUAGUCUAUUUUGUGCAAGACCACCUAGAUUAUUUGUGGGGCCCAAUUCAAAAUAAAAAUGUAAUGCUCUGUGUUCAAAAAUUUUUAAGAAUCCCAAGACUGUGACAGUAAAGCAUUACGCCAAGUAUGGAGUGCUUCUGAGCACACGGCCCUGUGUGACUGGACAGAUCAGACACCCAGGAAGCUGGACUCAUUACUGUAGUAAUGCUCAUUACUGUAGCUUUAUAUUAAGUAAGUCCUGAAAUAAGAUAAUGUGCGUGCUUCAACUUUGUUCUGCUUCAAAAUCGUUCUGCUGUUUCCAAGUCAUAUAAUUUCAUAUAAUUUAAGAAUCAGCUAGUUAAUAUGUGUAAAAUAACUUGCUAGAAUUUUGAUCAUAAUUAUGUAGAAUCUACGGAUCAAAUUGGAAAGAAAUGACAUCUUAACUACCUGAGUCUUCAAACCCAUGAACACAAUCUUGUCUCCCCAUUAAUUUUGAGUUCUUAAUAUUUUCUUUCAUUAAUUUUUGUUGUUUUAGCAUACAGACAUUGUCCAUAUUUUGUUAGAUUUCUACAUAAGGAUUUCAUUUUUGUUGGUGCCACUGUAAUGGUAUGUUUUUAUUUCAAACUCUAAUUGUGCAUUGUUGGCUAUGGGAAUACAAUUGAUUUUUGUGUGUAGACCUUGUAUUUUGUGACAUUGUUAAACUCAUAAAUUCUAAGAUUUUUGUAGAAUUUUAAGGUUUUUUACAUAGACAUUCAUGUCAUCUAAAAAUAAAAACAGCUUUAUUUUUGCAUUUCGUAUUUUCUACUUUUAAGUAUAUUUUCACUAUUCUCUGCAGAUCUCUAACUCUGUGAUUUUUCAGGCAUUAUUGAAAUAGAGAUUUUGUCCAAUGUACUAUCAUUCAGAAAUGUAAUCCAUGUGAUUUGCUCCUCUUAAGGAAAUUAGCAAUGAUAUUAAAGUAAAUCAAAUUUAAUAAACAGAUAUCUACAUCCCUGCCAUCUAGUUCUUACCUCCAAUUCAAUACAGCAGCAUUCAUCUUUAUUUUAUACAUCUAUAUUUAUACAUUAGACUGCAAUUUUCAAUCUUUGUGCCAACACAUAUAUCCACAUUUUUGUUUAAUUAAAUUUUUAAAAACUAUAAGCUUUACUUCCAACUAGACAUUUAAAUUAUCCCCUGGAAUCUUUGAUGAAACCAGCUAUCUUUUUAAUAAUCCACCAUAAUUUGCUAUAGAGACUUUCUGUUAUAUAUUUUAACUGAAUAGUCUGGGAUUUUUCUGCAUUUUUUUGUUAAUAAAAUGUAAACUUAUAGAAAUCCAGUUAUCCAGAUAUCCAGUUGAAUUAUCAUUUUAUUUGAUGAUAUAAGAAAUAUGACUAUUUCUUCUAGGUUGACUGUAUGACCCAAUUCGCCAGGUAAUUGGUUAUCAAUUCUUUCUAGACUUGGCCUUCCUUAACUUAUCCAAGAAUGGAAACACUCUACUUAGAUUAUACUAUAGGAAUAAAUUAUGGAGAAUUUAAGAGGAAACUAUCUAGAUUAUUAUCUUUCCUCCUCAAUAAGGAACUUUCAGUUGAACUAUUCAUAUAAUUGAAAUAGAAGUGGUUUUCUUGGCCUAAAUUGUCAAGAAACUCUCAGUUCUCCAUUUCACUUGCUUCCCCAGGGAAUCACCCACCUUUCCUUCACAAUCUUAGACCUGUACUAAUUCCUUAUUUUCAUAAAUGCUUGUUUUAGUCAGUCUGUAUUGCUAUAACAAAUUACCAUAGAAAAGGUGGCUUGUGCAACAAACAUUUAUUUUUCACAAUUCUAAAGGCUAGGAAGUCCAUGAUUAAGGGGCCAGUAGAUUUGUAUCUGAUGAGGGCCCACUUUCUGAUUUGCAAAUGGCUUUCUUCUUGUUGUAGCCUCACAUGGCAGAGAGCUGACAAAGGAAACAACCUUUCUCUUGUCUUUUUGUAUGGAACACUAAUCCUAUCAUGAGGAUAUAACUAUCAUGACCCCAUCUAAUAGUUAUUAGGUUGGUGCAAAAGUAACUGUGGUUUUUGUCAUUACUUUUAAUGGCAAAAACCGCAAUAACUUUUAUACCAACCUCAAUAGCUCCCAAAGGCUCCAC
rnacentral:lncRNA from 10 species